rnacentral:rRNA from 1 species
GACGAACGCUGGCGGCGUGCUUAACACAUGCAAGUCGAACGGAAAGGCCCUGCUUUUGUGGGGUGCUCGAGUGGCGAACGGGUGAGUAACACGUGAGUAACCUGCCCUUGACUUUGGGAUAACUUCAGGAAACUGGGGCUAAUACCGGAUAGGAGCUCCUGCUGCAUGGUGGGGGUUGGAAAGUUUCGGCGGUUGGGGAUGGACUCGCGGCUUAUCAGCUUGUUGGUGGGGUAGUGGCUUACCAAGGCUUUGACGGGUAGCCGGCCUGAGAGGGUGACCGGCCACAUUGGGACUGAGAUACGGCCCAGACUCCUAAGGGAGGCAGCAGUGGGGAAUAUUGAACAAUGGGCGGAAGCCUGAUGCAGCAACGCCGCGUGCGGGAUGACGGCCUUAGGGUUGUAAACCGCUUUCGCCUGUGACGAAGCGUGAGUGAAGGUAAUGGGUAAAGAAGCACCGGCUAACUACGUG